AGUUUUUCCUCAAGCAUGUCCGAAAUUCGAAGUGAAAUUGAAAUGAAACUCUGCAACUGUACUUUAUUUAACCAGAGUGAACAAAAUCCUCUAAAAUAUUGCGGAGUUGAAGGGAUCGUGUGCUUGGACAAAGAAAAUCUAGCAACUAAAGAGCUAUGUUGGUUCUAAUAUGGUAUGCUCACCAUCCUGCAUGGAACAACAGAUAAGCUACGUUGGGUAAGUGAAAAAGUUUAUUUUGAAACGGAUUACGCCAACUAAAACAUCCAAGAUCUCGAGAAAAAAAUUUCAACGAAUACGGACCAAUCAUGGUCGAAAUCGAAAUAACAUCACCACCAACAGCCAGAUAUUUCAGAGCAGUCACUCAAACAAAAUUGGAUUUAGUAGUUGCCAUUGGAGGUGUAAUUGGCCUUUACACUGGAGCAUCCUUGUUGAACAUUGUAAGAGGCUUGUAGCUGAGGGCGUAAACUAAAUUGACCGCCAACGGCGUUGUAUGGGCAGCCAAAGUCUCGCUGCUACAGGGGGUUUUGGAGUCAGGGGCUCUUAAACGGUGCUCUGAAAGGUUGGCUCCCUCUGGGGGUGAGUUAACGCUGAUGGCAGGUGAAGAGAAAGAGGAGAAAGCGAUGACAUUCGAACGUCAUCCAGCGGAUCCGACCGGUCUCAUAGUGGAUGGGAGCGUGUCCAUCUUCCUUUUGGAAUUUGGAUGUCGAGCGACCAACAUCGCCCCGAACAGGCUCAGCAAAAAUCAUUAAUGAAAAAGUUCCAAGGUCAAGAAAAGAAUAUUGUCAAAGCGCGAGUGGUAUCCAGCAGCAGCAAAGCAAAAGUCGCGGGACUACGAUAACUGAAGCUAGGUCGGCCACUGGGGCCAAGAUUGACGGAUUUGGCGCCUAGCAAUUUGGGCUGGCGAAGCAGCGGCGCUCCAAGCAGCUGAUCCGUCGCAGCACGGAGCGAGGGAGCAGAGACGCAGAAAAAAUUCAGAGAGGCUCGACCUUCGCGGGCAGCCGGAUCGACGUCGGUGAGGCGGCGGCCACAAAGCGGGACGGUCGAUAAUCCGCGAUAGCGGAAAGUUCAGCACCGGCGAAAUACGAACGGAGAAAAAGGAGGAAAAUAGCGCAAAUCCUACCUAAACGUGCCGUAUGGCAAAUACAGUUAACAAGGCCCAAUUAAGAUCCGCAGCACAUAGGGAAGGAAAGAGUUAGUGUGUUGUUGGAGUUCAAUACUCAGAGCUGCAAGGGUAAUGCCCCAAAAAAA